rnacentral:tRNA from 1 species
AUUCAAAUAUCUUAUGUGUAGAGUAUAACAUUGAAGAUGUUAGUGAGAUGAAGUGUUAAAUCUUUGAAUA